CAUCAAGAAGCUUUUAUAGCGUCAGCCUUUUAAGCUGGAGACGAGGCGGUCAGCCUCCUCGAUGA
rnacentral:tRNA from 1 species